UCUCUAGUCAGGCAGCAGAAGGGCUUUAAUUAGGUCCGGGGCUUGGCAGCCCCAGGUCUGCACCCCAGGACACACACACCAUAUCAAUAUUCCCAUGCAGACUGUGCAGGUUUUUCUUCUAUCUCUGUAUGUGUGUGGCUGCUGUUUUUGCAAGACCUCAAAUGGCUAUGCUCCAAGGAGAGCGAGCCUCUCAGGAUGAUUCUUUCUCUGUAGUUCGCUCAUUAGGACUGAGGCACCUGGGCUGUUGUACCCAUUGAGACCUAAGCUCUUUUUUUAUCCUCUGUAGUUCUAGUUGCCACUUUUUUCCCUUUCUUUAACCCUCUGAGACACACAAUAGACUAGUUUUUAUCUUUUUUUUAGGGGGUACAGGCAGUCUUUAUGGGGAGAUAGCACGUCAACAGUAGAUUUCACAUAGAAGUGGUGUACAUCAUCUGAAAGCUGGGAACCUGAAGAUUAAUUUGAGAUGCAGCCCAGCACUGUGUGUCCAGUUUU